CCUAGCUCCAUCUCACUCACAAAUCCCUAGAGCUCCAUCUCACAAAUCUCUCUAUCUCUCAGUUGAAAUCAAACCCCAAACCCACUCUAAUAUCUCUAUCUCUCAGUUGAAAUCAAACCCCAAACCCACUCUAAUCUCUCUAUCUCUCAGUUGAAAUCAAACCCAGACCCACUCUAAUCUCUCUCGUAUUCUUGUCUCCCUCUCACUCUAGCUCUCUUUGUCUCUGAUUCUAAGUUUCCUUCUUCUCCGUAAUAAUCCCUCUCUCUCUCACCUUCUUUCUUCUCCGUAAUCCCUCUCUCUCUCUCACCCUUUCGCACAGCUUCCAUACCCAAUAAAGCUGAAAAGAAAAGCCCGAUUUCAUUUUCUUCUUCAUAUUCCCCUAUACACUCUCAAAUCCCUAGCUCUCUCUCACUCUAAUCUCUCUAUCUCUCAGUUGAAAUCAAACCCCAGACCCCAUUAUUCUUCCCCCCUCUCUCGUAUUCCUGUCUCCCUCUCACUCUAGCUCUCUCUGUCUCGCUCAUUCGAAGUUCUCUAACCGAAGGAACUCGGAAUCAUCUAGCCGAAAGGUAGUGAUUCCAAGAAAGGUGGUGGUGGAGGUUCGCAAGAUGGGAAGAUUGGGUCUAGCAAUGUCCUCACGAACCAGUACACAGGGUCACACGUUGCGACUUCUGUCCUUGCCAGAUUUCUUAGAUCGAUCAAUAGGCACGCUAUUGAAGCUUAAACAAAAGAUUGCUUCAGCCACCUCAGCCAUCAAAUCUGUUUUCAGCCAAGAACAGCCCAAGCAGGAUGCGACUGACAAACUGGAGCGACUAAGGGAGAGGAUGAUCAAAGUGCGGGAGCUUUUUCGGGUUCAACAUAUUUUGUUAUUGUAACAAUUCCCACGAGGAAUUUACAAGCAUGGUGAAAGUGGGAAAGGUUGUUAUGGCAGCAGUACAGCUCCUCCAUGCACUGGGUAAAAUUUCAGUUGUCAGACUUAUGGUUACUAGAGCUCAUUAGUCUUCUCUUUUUGCUGUGGUUAUCUGAUUGUUGCAUAAGUAUAGAUGCAAAUGCUGGUUUCUGCAUUAUUUCAGCCAAGGAGGCCAUCAGCCCCAUCUGGCGCUGUUUCAUGAUUUGGAAUCGCUUAUUUAGUGCCUGUUUUUGAAGCUCAAGCUCUUGUUUCUCUCUUUCAUGCAUCUGUAGUGUCAACAGAAGAGAGUUCUUCUCAUGUUUUAGUCUCUUAAUUUCUUUCUCAUAUUCAUAUCUUUCUGGAUUGGUUAAAGGAGCAGAAUUCCCUUGAUUUUGCAUCAAAUGACUGAAUCGGUUUGCACCUAUGAAUGUUCUUCAGAAGAUGUCUCUGUCCUCUAAUGAAAUCUUCAUUUGCAAACUCCCAUUGGUCAGGAUCAAUCUUCCUAAACCCCUGCUCAUACACAACACAUGAUUAGCAUAGGUUCAUUAGCAUGAGUUCUGUCAGUACACAUAAAUAAAUGAUUGCCACAACAGCUAAAGCAGAUGACACAAUAAAGACAAUAACCUUAAACUAACAAAAAUACUAAAACCAAAUUUGAUCAAAUUUACCAAGUAUCAGAAAAUAGCAUAUAAGAAAACAUUAGGUGCAACCUCAAAUUCUAUAGAAACACAGGUAGGAGACAACAUUUUCAGACUAAUUUAAAUUCUCCAUACAACAUAUAUUUUAGUUCCUCAGCACACUGAUAUAAUUAUGUGAUUAAGCCAAUUAAACUUUUGCUACAGUUUAAAAGGUGAAAUCAGGUCACUUCUCAUAGCAUCUAGACUAAAGCAGAAGACUCCAAAAGUUUCCACCAAUUAAUAAUCCUCAAAUAAGAUAUCACAGCAUGGAAAAAGUAGCACUAGCAGCCACAUACCUAUCUGCAGCUCAUAAAAAAGUGUUCAAAAUCUAUGUGCAAUAUCAGAUUCCUUAGUUUAACAGCACCAGAAUCCAGAUGAUCAUGUUACCGAUUCAUGAAGCAUAAGUUGAAGGAUUAGUAGAGAUUCUGUUCAAUUCUGGUGUAUUCCCAUUAAUGAGUAAAAAUAUUUAAGUAUAGAUAAUUAAGCAUGGAUGACAAUAGAUUACCUUAAUUAAUCUUCAAAGUUUGAUGCUUCCUCUGAGACAUUAUGCUGAUUGUGUCAUCCACCUUUUAAGAUGAUCGUAUAAUGAAAUAUAUAUUUGAAGGGAAAAUAGUGGGGUUUUUUUCAUUUGAUACAAGUGACUGAACUAUAUGUAAACUGUGGGUGACAACUAAAUCGGCAUUUCAUGUAGAAUGAUCAUCAUAAGCGUCUGUUUGACAUAUCUGAAUAAUAUUGAAAUCAUCUAGCAAUUUAAGUGUGUUUCAUGGUUUUGCUCAAUAGGUACAUUAUAGAGGCCAACAAUGAGACUACUAUAUCUUAAUAAUGGAAAUGCAUGGCCCAAGUUUAUGGGAUAUUUGGAACACUAAUAACCAAAUGUUGUCUGAAGAUACAGUUGCUUGUAUAGCAGUGGAGGCUAUAUCAAUUCUAGAACAGCUUCAUUUCAAAGGUUUUGUGCAUGGAGAUGUUAAACCUGAAAACUUUUUGCUUGGUCUGCCCGGAACACCUAAUGAGAAGAAGUUGUAUCUUAUUGAUCUUGGUUUGGCAUCAAAAUGGAGAGAUUCAUCAUCUGGUCGUCAUGUUGAAUAUGACCAAAAGCCGGAUGUUUUCAGGAUUGAUUGUUGUUGGAACUAAAAACAACAAUAAAAUGAAAAGAGCCUUCAAGAGGGAGCAUGAAGUGGAAUUGCUGCCAACUUCUUUAUAUAUGUAAAUAUGAACUAAAAGUACAAUUUUUCACGUGUGUGUAUAGAUUUUUGUAUUAUGUUUUACAUUGAUUUUGUACUAAAUAUUUUUUUUUAGUUUGUAUUUUGUUUAUCUAUUUUAUAAAAAUUAAUUUUGAUAUUUUAUUAA